rnacentral:rRNA from 1 species
GAUGAACGCUGGCGGCGUGCCUAACACAUGCAAGUCGAGCGUGAUUCUAAUAAGUGGCGGCUUCGGUCAAAGCGAGUUAGAUGAAAGCGGCGGACGGGUGAGUAACGCGUGGGCAACCUGCCCCAUACACGGGAAUAGCCACUGGAAACGGUGAUUAAUACCCGAUAAGACCACGACACCUCAUGGUGAUGUGGCCAAAGAUUUAUCGGUAUGGGAUGGGCCCGCGUCUGAUUAGCUAGUUGGUGAGGUAACGGCUCACCAAGGCGACGAUCAGUAACCGACCUGAGAGGGCGGACGGUCACACUGGAACUGAGACACGGUCCAGACUCCUACGGGAGGCAGCAGUGGGGAAUAUUGCACAAUGGGCGCAAGCCUGAUGCAGCAACGCCGCGUGAGUGAAGAAGGCCUUCGGUCGU